rnacentral:rRNA from 1 species
UACAGAGACUGCAAGCGUUAUUCGGAUUCACUGGGCGUAAAGGGUGCGCAGGCGGCCAAGUGUGUGAGGCGUGAAAGCCCGAAGCUUAACUUCGGAAUUGCACCUCAAACUACAUGGCUAGAGCAUUGGAGAGGGUAGUGGAAUUCACGGUGUAGCAGUGAAAUGCGUAGAUAUCGUGAGGAACACCAGAGGCGAAGGCGGCUACCUGGACAAUUGCUGACGCUCAGGCACGAAAGCGUGGGGAGCAAAAGGG